rnacentral:rRNA from 1 species
AGAGUUUGAUCAUGGCUCAGGACGAACGCUGGCGGCGUGCCUAACACAUGCAAGUCGAGCGAGAGACUUCGGUCUCUAGCGGCGGACGGGUGAGUAACACGUGGGUAACCUGCCUCAAACAGGGGGAUAGCCUUCCGAAAGGAAGAUUAAUACCGCAUAACAUCAAGCUAUCGCAUGGUAGUUUGAUCAAAGGAGUAAUCCGGUUUGAGAUGGACCCGCGGCGCAUUAGCUAGUUGGUGAGGUAACGGCUCACCAAGGCCACGAUGCGUAGCUGACCUGAGAGGGUGAUCGGCCACAUUGGAACUGAGACACGGUCCAGACUCCUACGGGAGGCAGCAGUGGGGAAUAUUGCACAAUGGGCGAAAGCCUGAUGCAGCAACGCCGCGUGAGUGAUGAAGGCCUUCGGGUUGUAAAGCUCUGUCUUUGGGGACGAUAAUGACGGUACCCAAGGAGGAAGCCACGGCUAACUACGUGCCAGCAGCCGCGGUAAUACGUAGGUGGCAAGCGUUGUCCGGAUUUACUGGGCGUAAAGGAUGCGUAGGUGGAUAUUUAAGUCAGAUGUGAAAUACCCGAGCUCAACUUGGGUGCUGCAUUUGAAACUGGAUAUCUAGAGUGCAGGAGAGGUAAGUGGAAUUCCUAGUGUAGCGGUGAAAUGCGUAGAGAUUAGGAAGAACACCAGUGGCGAAGGCGACUUACUGGACUGUAACUGACACUGAGGCAUGAAAGCGUGGGGAGCAAACAGGAUUAGAUACCCUGGUAGUCCACGCCGUAAACGAUGAGUACUAGGUGUAG